AACGAACGCUGGCGGCAUGCCUAGCACAUGCAAGUCGAACGAGACCUUCGGGUCUAGUGGCGCACGGGUGCGUAACGCGUGGGAACCUGCCUUUAGGUUCGGAAUAACUCAGAGAAAUUUGAGCUAAUACCGGAUAAUGUCUUCGGACCAAAGAUUUAUCGCCUUUAGAUGGGCCCGCGUAAGAUUAGCUAGUUGGUGGGGUAAAGGCCUACCAAGGCGACGAUCUUUAGCUGGUCUGAGAGGAUGAUCAGCCACACUGGGACUGAGACACGGCCCAGACUCCUACGGGAGGCAGCAGUGGGGAAUAUUGGACAAUGGGCGAAAGCCUGAUCCAGCAAUGCCGCGUGAGUGAUGAAGGCCUUAGGGUUGUAAAGCUCUUUUACCCGAGAUGAUAAUGACAGUAUCGGAGAAUAAGCUCCGGCUAAACUCCGUGGCCAGCAGCCGCGGUAAU
rnacentral:rRNA from 1 species